rnacentral:rRNA from 1 species
UACGUAGGGUGCAAGCGUUGUCCGGAAUUAUUGGGCGUAAAGAGCUCGUAGGCGGUUCGGCAAGUCGAAUGUGAAAUCUCCACGCUCAACGUGGAGGGUCAUUCGAUACUGCCGUGACUUGAGUACGGUAGGGGAGUGUGGAAUUCCCGGUGUAGCGGUGAAAUGCGCAGAGAUCGGGAGGAACACCCGUAGCGAAGGCGGCACUCUGGGCCGAUACUGACGCUGAGGAGCGAAAGCGUGGGGAGCGAACAGGA